UACGUAGGGUGCAAGCGUUGUUCGGAAUGAUUGGGCGUAAAGCGCGUGUAGGCGGCUUGCUAAGUCAGAUGUGAAAUCCCUGUGCUCAACCGAGGAAGUGCAUUUGAAACUAGUGAGCUGGAGAGUGGUAGAGGAAGGUGGAAUUCCGUGUGUAGAGGUGAAAUUCGUAGAUACACGGAGGAAUACCGGUGGCGAAGGCGGCCUUCUGGACCAUUUCUGACGCUAAGACGCGAAAGCGUGGGGAGCAAACAGG
rnacentral:rRNA from 1 species